GUCUUUUUUCAUCGCCUCUCCCUCUUCUUUUUACUCUCUAUUUUUCUCCGCCGUUCUUCUUGGUUCUCCCCCAGUAUUUCUUGUACACAGUUAUCAUUAGGAUCCUCUGGUUUAUCUCAAUUAUACACCGAGGCUAUUUUAUUAUUUAUGAUCAUUCGUGUUUAUUUGCCUUCUGCAACUAAACCCUAAUCAAGGUCACGCAGGAGGGAAAAAAAGUCCAUAAAUAAACUGUCGGGGUCGAGUAAACUAUGCGCAUUCCAUAAGAAUAAGGAAAACGUGGUAUAUGCUAGAGCAUCUAUACAACUACAGACCCGAUUAGCAGUAAAGAUUUCUGCUCAAAGAAGCUUCAAUGAUGGUACAUAUGGUACACAGAGGUGGUGUAUGUUCUCAUGGUUUUACUUCAUGAUAGUCUAGGAAUAGUUGGAAUCUUUUGGGGUUCACACUUGAAACCAAGUAUGAAAAGAGUGUGUUUGGUGCAAGACACCACUUUUGCUCUUAGGCUGCUGUAACACCACACUUGAAGUUUGGGGGUAUUCUGAAAUUUGAUUUUACUUCAUAAUACGCUAUAUUUUUACGGAUAUAGUCUGUUGUAACACUACUUAUUGUGCUCCUUUUUUUGUGCAGAACCCAAGUCGUAUUAAAAUACAUAUAUGAGCUUUCUCAUAUGUAUAUUCCUGUUUGUAAAACGUGUAAAACAACUAGAAAAGCUUAUUUUAGUCUCUUAAGCUUUAGUUUGCUGACAGCACGUAUUAUAGGUUGAGUAAGCCCGAUACGCAAGUCAUUAUUAUGAGUAAAUAGUUAAUUACUGGAUAAUGAUGAUCGGUGGGGAUUGUUGAACUAUGUGAACUCAUAAAUGAAGAUUGAAUUUGUUAACUUGCCGUCAUUCAUGUUCCAUCUCAUUGGCAGAUGAU